CAGUCGCCACGGUAAUACGUAGGGUGCAAGCGUUAAUCGGAAUUACUGGGCGUAAAGCGUGCGCAGGCGGUUAUAUAAGACAGAUGUGAAAUCCGGGCUCAACCUGGGAACUGCAUUUGUGACUGUAUAGCUAGAGUACGGCAGAGGGGGAUGGAAUUCCGCGUGUAGCAGUGAAAUGCGUAGAUAUGCGGAGGAACACCGAUGGCGAAGGCAAUCCCCUGGGCCUGUACUGACGCUCAUGCACGAAAGCGUGGGGAGCAAACAGGAUUAGAUACCCCAGUAGUCCCUGUCUCUUAUACAC
rnacentral:rRNA from 1 species